rnacentral:lncRNA from 1 species
GCUAGGAGGUGGUUAGGACUGCAAGGAGCACCUUGUGGGAUCACCUUUGCCCGGCUACCUGGGGCUGGGGCUGGGGUCUCUGCACACAGCUUUUGCUUGGUGUUUCCUGGGUCAGGAACAGAGCCAACAGGAUGGACAUGUGGCAAAUGCCUUGGACAUGGCUAUGAUCUUUGACUACUGGGGGAGGGAACCUGGUGAUGAGAGUAAAGGGUCACGAAGGACUGGCCUCCCUGAUCUCUAUCCUCGUGGCAGUGACCCACCUCCAGCCCCCUGGACAAUCGGGUACAGAGACUAAGGUUGGGAACGGGUAGGGUGGGGUUUCCAUAGUCCAUUAAAUGCUUCCCUACUCCCAUUCUUCGCUCUCAAAAUUAGCUUCAGUGACAAAGACUUAAACCUCUCUCCUAUCUGCAGCCCUGGGUUGGAGAGAGGGCACAGGAGUGGGGCUCAGCUGUUCGCUGACUGAGACUGGAGGAACUGUGUUGGUUGGUAUCGGUGGUGGUAUUUUUCAAGGAAAGGGGAAUAAUUGCAAACUGGAUAGGACAUCCAUCUGGGACUACUUGUCCAUCCACUUCCCUCAAUUGAAUCAGGUAACAUUAAAGGGUCGAGGGAGUACCAGAGGGUGGUGUGGUCUGUAUUUGAACAAAUUCCUGGCUCACUGAGCAUCGAAGGGGAAUAUGGCCCGGUGGGAGUGGUUUAGUUUCCCCUUUAAACAGCCAAUAAAUAAUUUUUAUUAUAAAAGUUAUACUGAUUAUCAACAUCGACUCCUUCGGUUCAAUUCAGUGUAUAAUAGUUGAAUACCCAAUAUUUUCUGGGACCCACAUAGGGGAUGUGGAGUCACUGCCUUCAAGGAGUUCAGUCUUAUUUGACCAGGUACCUUGCAUUUUCACAGAGCAUUCACCUCUGGUGAAGUGCUAUGGAAUGUGUGUGAGAAAUGUACUGGAGAAUUUGUUCGUGGUUCUAACUUAUGAGAGUUCAGUCCAUUAGAGCAAGAUACCUACACGGAGGCUUCCUGCAGACUACGUAAAGUGUGGGGGUUGUAAAUGAAACUCUACUUGAAAAAAUACCUUAUUCAAUGAAACUAGGCAAACAGCUUUCCCCCUUUAGAUCUAGGAAAAUUAUCAGGUUUCUGUCUUCCUACCACUAGACUUCCUCUAGUCUAGCGCCUAUUAUAUUGAGGGAAUCCUUUAGAUAGUAUAUACAACGGGGAGAGUCUUUUGUGAUUGCAAAACAUAUUCUCAUCUCUCCUCCCUUUUAAGAUAGACUCCUAACGGAGGAAUCUCAUUCCUAGAUAGGGGAAAACUCUUCCAAACAUCACUGAUCUGCUAGUAGGCCCUAAGCAUUGCCAGUAGGUGGCAGUGUGUGUCCAGUGGAAACAGGAAAGGUGUCUGUAAGUGGGUAAAGGGGUGUGGGGAGGACAUUCAACGUUGUCUGGCAGCCAUUUUGUUAAUUUAUUUUGCCUUUUCCUUUGACUUUGCCCUCCAACCCUUCCUUCCCAUACAUCAAAGAAGAAAAAUUUAAAUUCAAGGAUAACUCUAAUUCAGGCUGAAAUUUCCUGGCACUGUGAUCUCACUGGCAUUUAUUACAGAAUUUGACAUAUGCUGGUUCGUUUGCCAUUUAUUUUGAGUAGAUCAUGAAGGAAAUAAAAGAUUCUAUUAUGCUGAGAACUUUCCCAACAGUUUCUGCCAUGACAACCUCCUAAGAGUUUUCUAGCCACUAGGAUCACUUGGGUAAAGUUCGAUGUGUAAUCUUGAGCUGUGCAAGUUGUUCCUGGACACAAUUUGACCUCCCUAAUCCACGGAAGAAUCAGUAACCGUCCUGUCAGUUACUUUUUCCUGCACCCUGGUCGUGUUGGGGUAACUCUCAAUCCUAGAUGAAAACCUUGUUGUCAGGUUUUCCCAGGUAACACAGUGGCAUAGUAGUAAAGGGGUGCAUUUGGAGUCAGAUAAACACCUACUCACUGUGUGAAGUUGGGAAAGAUGUUUAAUUUCUGAGCCUAUUUCCUCAUCUGUAAAAAUGGGGAUAACAUUACCUACCUCACAGGGUUGUUGUGAGGAUUAAGAGAUAUGUGGAAGCACCUAGCCAUACUUGGCAAACAGGUACUCAAUAAAUACUGGUUUUUCUUCCUUUUCCUCUUGCCCUUUCUCCCUGUAAGUACCGAU